rnacentral:rRNA from 1 species
GUAACGGCGAGUGAAGCGGCAACAGCUCAAAUUUGAAAUCUGGCCCCCUUCGGGGGUCCGAGUUGUAAUUUGCAGAGGAUGCUCUUGGCGAGGCACCGUCCGAGUUCCCUGGAACGGGACGCCGCAGAGGGUGAGAGCCCCGUGUGGACGGACGCCGAGCCGCUGUAGAGCUCCUUCGACGAGUCGAGUAGUUUGGGAAUGCUGCUCUAAAUGGGAGGUAAAUCUCUUCUAAAGCUAAAUAUAGGCCACAGACCGAUAGCGCACAAGUAGAGUGAUCGAAAGAUGAAAAGCACUUUGAAAAGAGAGUUAAACAGCACGUGAAAUUGUUGAAAGGGAAGCGCUCAUGACCAGACUUGCGCCUGGCGGAUACCCGGCGUUCUCGCCGAUUCCCUCCGCCAGGCUCAGGCCAGCAUCGGUUCGCUGUCGGGGAGAAAGGCUCGGGGAAUGUGGCUCUUCGGAGUGUUAUAGCCCCCUGCGUAAUACCCUUCGGCGGACCGAGGUUCGCGCAUUCUUGCAAGGAUGCUGGCGUAAUGGUCAUCAGCGACCCGUCUUGAAACACGGACCAAGGAGUCGUCCUAGUAUGCGAGUGUACGGGUGUCAAACCCCUGCGCGAAAUGAAAGUGAACGGAGGUGAGAGCCUCGGCGCAUCAUCGACCGAUCCUGAUGUCUUCGGAUGGAUUUGAGUAAGAGCAUACUGGGCCGGACCCGAAAGAAGGUGAACUAUGCCUGUAUAGGGUGAAGCCAGAGGAAACUCUGGUGGAGGCUCGCAGCGGUUCUGACGUGCAAAUCGAUCGUCAAAUAUGGGCAUGGGGGCGA